UUCGUUCGCUGCUUUGGACCUUACAGACCGGAAUGUUCAGUGUGUUGUGUUCCUAACGUCCGAACGAGGUGGUGAUCGAAGGCGACAGGCGGCAAGGUUCUUGCAUCGUGGUCGGCGCGUCGCGUCUCGAACCGCCCCCGCCCACCGGCGCCGUUCUUCUUAACUAUACCGGUUCCUCUGCCACGAAGAGCAGGAACGAAAGCGGCGGCGGCGGCGGAAGGACACGAGCACGGGGCGGCAGCGGAGGCGAGCCUUCCAUGCGACCGACCAUCAACUCCUGUACAGUGGUCACUGUAACUAGAAAGAGCCGGCGCUAACACAAACGCGACGCGAGGGCACCUGCCUGUACUAGAGGCCGACGACGUGACGUCCACUCGCUCUGCACGCGCGACAGCGCCUUGACGCUGCGGCCCGACGUGACGCUCUGCACGCACCACCUGCCGUUGCACGCCGGCGCGACGUGGGCGCACUGGGGGCAGCUGGGCGUCUCGUUCCUGGCCCCCGACGGCAAGUUGGCGAUGCGCACCGACUGCUGGGUGUUGAGGAAGCGCGCCGACCCGUGGGUCAGGGUCUGGCCCUGCCGGUAGCAGUGCCGCAAAUUGGUCGUCCUGUGGUAGCGGCUCGUCGAGUUGCACUCAGGUGGCGGCGGGCGAGAGCGAGACGAGAGAGAAGGCAAACGGACGACUGGACACCCUGGCCGCUCAUAGGCUCAGGUACAAUCUGGGACAGUCACACGCCACCCCACUCCACAGGGGCCUGCGUUGUGUACAGUUUCUACGAGCAGGUGCACAGGUUCCGCGUCGCGUGGAGGCCCGCGGCCAGAACGCACGUGCGGGUGUGCGAACGAACCUCGCAACCGUGCCGUUACGAUCGACGUUCCUAGUGGGUAUGGCGUGUGUACCGUCCCCUCCUCGUCGGUGGGCACUACCCGUGAGGAGAGGAGGGACACAUAGGAACACACCUACUCUGCACACCACAGGCGAGGUUAAGCCCAUCGUGCAGGUAAGGACCGGCGUAAGGUAGGGGCGACUUUAUUUGUGCAACACUCGACACCGAUGAAGCUUCCAUUUUAACUACUGCAAGAGUUCGAGUUCAUUAACUUAAAGAACACAGCGUCUUGCCGCACUCCCCCGACUACGACCUGUACAUGCUGAAGGCCUUGCUGUAUACCGAGACAGUGAGGAUGCCGCCGCGGACGGCUUUGAAGUGGCGUAAGCAUUCGUGGUUGGUUUGCUAUGAAAUGAUCUUGGUUAGUGAGAGUAGCUGCUGAUUGAUCGCCAAUAUACAAGCAGCUGCUGUCUGCGGCCGGCACUUGCACGAGGCCCUCUAGCUCCGCAAGGACUCCUCCUUGGGGAGGCUCCACUAGUGCUAGAAGUAGCUCCUGAUGCACCUCCGCGGGUACCCCGAGUGGGCCCACAAGUUGCGGAGGCCGGACUGCGGGAAGGACAAGGGCCACACCGCGUACGGGUUCUUGCCGCCGCUGACCGGCGACGAUUCGCUGUACCAGGCGCUGUUGGUGGCGGAGGAGCAGAAGUGGAGGUCCAGGCGGUUCCUCCGGCGGCUCCCGAAGCGUGUGCUCACCCCGAUGCAGCAGCUCUUAGUCAUACCCUCGUUUCCCUACCACUUCCCCAGCACGGGCUUGGCGCGGCUCAGCCGGCGGUACUUGCUGGACAGCUCCAGCGACCACGACCACUUGAUGAAGGCCCUGGAGGGUUUGAAGGGCCUCCGCACGUUCCUGUUGAGCCGCGUCGACGACCCGUACGAGCUGUGGACGGUGCGGCGCAGGCCCCUGUCUACCGGGUUGAAGUAGCGGCAGCUGAAGAUGUUCUCUUCGCUGCCUCCGCCGCGGCGCCUUCGGUGCCUGUUCCGGUUGCCGCCCGACCAAACACCUACGCCUUCGUAUCGACGGACGUUGUCAUUACCAUGUACGAGCGGCGCGGCCGCGCCCUCGUGCGGCUUUCCGUAGAAGUUGUUCUGGAGUCUACGGCGCAGCACCGUCGGCGGCCGGUACGACGUAACCGUCGUUGACUACGACGGCUGGUGGAAGGAACGAGAUGAUAAUACGAACAUCUUCUUGUAACCUGAGACUUAGUCGUUUUGAAAUCUGAUCAACCGUCUGACAUUUAGUAUCUACGUUUGAUCUUUAAAAUACACGGCCCAAGAGUAGUGUGCGACGUUCAUGUGAAAAAAAAAACGAUUACUGUGACGUUCAUGUGAAACGACAACUUAAAGACGAUCCGGUUUUAAGCCGGUAACAUACUGUAUCGAACAUUCAAUACAUACACUACUUGAGAAACAAACCUUCAACACGUAUAAACCAUCGAUUCCCGUUGAGGUUGCACUUAGCGGUUUAGGGGGCAUUUACAGACCUGGUCUGUCAGACCUAUAAAAAACGGUAGGGUGUGUAGUUUUAACAGACCUGGAUAGGCUUACAAGUUUUAGGAUGUUUAACCGUGGUUUACUCCCUCUCCAAAGAGGUUGAGGAAGGAAGAAGUACACUACACAUAAACGUGGGAGCCGCUGGUGGCGGCGGCGAUGUGUUGGGGCUGGCGGUGCGCCCGGAAUAGCCUGGAAGCAGCGUGUUACGUUCGCGAAAGGACGGAACCUAACGUGGCGGCAAGAUGGGACCUAAGGUAGCGUCGUAUCCAUUGGAGGCGAGGGACGGCUGUAGCAGGUAUCGUUUGUGAUGCGGACCGUUCACGAGCCGGUUUACGGUAACGGUUCUUUAGAAUACAAGAUCAACAAAUGAAACU
rnacentral:rRNA from 1 species